rnacentral:lncRNA from 1 species
AUGAUGAUGAUGAUGAUUUCUCGAGAAUCACAAAGAGAAAGAAUGCAUUCAGGUUCUAGAAAACUGUCCAUAUUCUCAAUUUUGGAAUGGCCCUCUACCUCUAAAAGAAAGCUUUACCUGGAAAAUUAUCUCACUUUCAAUUUUCAUUCUUUUGAAAAAGUAAGUGGGCACCCACAAGAUACUACAAGCUAUUGGAGGCGUUCAGUAUAUCAAAUCAGAAAAUUGAGCAAAGUACUGUGGAUCACAGAGGACAGAUCAGUCAACUCUGCCUGUGAUAUUCAUAAACAAAGUCUUCAUAGAAGAGUCAUACACAUUCAGUGGAAAAAAGAUGUUCAAUCAACUGCACUCAGGAGACUCUCUUAA